rnacentral:rRNA from 1 species
AACGAACGCUGGCGGCAUGCCUAACACAUGCAAGUCGAACGAGACCUUCGGGUCUAGUGGCGCACGGGUGCGUAACGCGUGGGAAUCUGCCCUUGGGUCUGGAAUAACAGUUAGAAAUGACUGCUAAUACCGGAUGAUGACUUCGGUCCAAAGAUUUAUCGCCCAGGGAUGAGCCCGCGUCGGAUUAGCUAGUUGGUGAGGUAAAGGCUCACCAAGGCGACGAUCCGUAGCUGGUCUGAGAGGAUGAUCAGCCACACUGGGACUGAGACACGGCCCAGACUCCUACGGGAGGCAGCAGUGGGGAAUAUUGGACAAUGGGCGAAAGCCUGAUCCAGCAAUGCCGCGUGAGUGAUGAAGGCCUUAGGGUUGUAAAGCUCUUUUACCCGGGAUGAUAAUGACAGUACCGGGAGAAUAAGCCCCGGCUAACUCCGUGCCAGCCGCCGCCGUAA